CGCGCGCUCGCGCACGCGCACGCCGCGCCCGGCAGCCCUCGGCGCUGUCAUGGCGGCCGGGAGCAGCUUCAGUGGGCGCAGGGACGGCGGUGCGAGCCGUGGCGGGGCGAGUUGUGGCAGUAGCAUCCUCAUCACCAUCAGCAGCCUUAAUCGUGGCGUCGGUGACGCCAGCAGUGGCUGUUUUUGCAAAGGCUGAGCGCAGGGGUGGGGCGGGCCAGGAAACCAUGGAGUUCUGUGCAGCCGCGGGCUCCCGGGGAGCGGACUAGGGAAACUUGGAGGCUGCGACCAGGUGCACUGACCUCUCUCCUUCCUCCUCUCCUCGCCCUGGGGCCUCCCGGGCUGCCUCCCUUCCCUUCCUGCCACAGCACACACCUCCCCUCCUCUCGCCACCGAACCUCAGGUGCCCGAGAGAGGUGCUCCACUCCUCCCCCUGGGCCGAGCGUUGAGAUAAUCACCGCCCCCUUCCCCCGCCUUUUCCUGCCCUGGUUCUCCGCCGCCACCUCCGUCUGGCUGCUCCCUGGCAGGGGGCGAGGACAAGUCCGGAGUGUUGGGUGAGGAGGAACUUUCUGCCUCGGUGGUGGCGUGGGGGGUCCCCUCCCUUCCCCGGCCCCUCCUGUCCGCGCGACAGUUUCUCUUCCGUGCACCUGUGAGGAGAGGUUGCCCUGCGCCCUGAACCUGCGGGAGUGUGGGGGAGGAGUGAACCUGCUCCGGGCCUCGCGGACCCGCCUUCGCCAGAACCGGCUCCGGGAGCCCGGGAGAAGCGGGCGGCUGGUGGCGGGGUGCCUUUAGUAACUUACUUGACGGACAAUAACUAUUCCCCCCAAACAGUCCCCUCAAACCAAACCUAGUCUAUUUAACACAUAUUUAAUCUUCCAAUAGGGUUUGGCGUUGUUGUCAGCCUCGGGGAGAGAGAUUGGACAAAUAUUCUCCAAGAGGAAGAGGGCGACGCCAAGGACUUUCCACAUCAACUGCUUUUGGGGUUUCUCCUCAAGUUGGAAGAGAGACCCUUUUCGUUUUGCUUUGCGUGUCCUGUGCUUAUUACCAGUGCAGCUACUGCUGCCUCUGGGUGACUCCGAGUUGUCCUUCCUCGUGAACUAGCAAUGGCUAGUGAAGACAAUCGUGGCCCUUCCCCGCCACCAACAGGUGAUGACGAGGGAGGUGGAGGGAAAGAAGAAACCCCUGCGGAAGGGGGUGCAUUGUCUCUGAAGCCAGGGCUCCCCAUCAGGGGCAUCAGAAUGAAAUUUGCCGUGUUGACCGGAUUGGUUGAAGUUGGAGAAGUAUCCAAUAGGGAUAUCGUAGAAACUGUCUUUAACCUGGUAAGUAGAUGAAUAUUUUAUAAGCAUAUACUUUUCUUGGUGAGUUGGAG
rnacentral:lncRNA from 1 species